GAUGAAGAACGCAGCGAAAUGCGAUAAGUAAUGUGAAUUGCAGAAUUCAGUGAAUCAUCGAAUCUUUGAACGCACAUUGCGCCCCCUGGUAUUCCGGGGGGCAUGCCUGUCCGAGCGUCAUUACAACCCUCAAGCUCAGCUUGGUAUUGGGCCCCGCCGACCCGGCGGGCCCUAAAGUCAGUGGCGGUGCCGUCCGGCUCCGAGCGUAGUAAUUCUUCUCGCUCUGGAGGACCGGUCGUGUGCUCGCCAGCAACCCCCAAUUUUUUUCAGGUUGACCUCGGAUCAGGUAGGGAUACCCGCUGAACUUAAGCAUAUCAAUAAGCGGAGGA
rnacentral:misc_RNA from 1 species